ACAAGCCCAGGAGCAGACACAAGUGUGAGCUCUGAGCCCACAGUCCUGGUUUGUCCUUGAAGUAUGAGGCUGGUGGUUGGAGUAACUGUUUUUCUGACCUUGGGGACUGUGAUUAAUGCUAAGACCACCCAGCCCAGCUCCAUGGAUUGUGCUGAAGGAGAAGAUGUAAACCUGCCUUGUAACCACUCUACCAUUGGUGGAGAUGACUAUAUACAUUGGUAUCGGCAAAAUCCCAAUCAGAGUCCACAGUAUGUCAUUCGUGGCUUACGAGGCACAGUGAACAGCAGCCUGGCCUCUCUGACCAUAGCUUCAGACAGAAAGUCCAGCACCUUGGUCCUGCCCCAGGUCACCCUGAGAGGCACCGCUGUGUACUACUGCGUCCUGAGAGAGGCACAGUGGGACAGAUGGGGCUGCACCUGCGCAGUAUCUCUGGUGGGAAGAAGAGGGACACGGUGGGGGAGCAGUCACGAGAGCAAAUCUAGACUCUUCUGGAAGGAGACACAUUCUGCGGUGGAGGUUGCGGUGGAGGAUGGGGUGUCCUGUCAGCGUCACCUGAGCAGGAUUGGUUGGGUGAGCUGA